rnacentral:rRNA from 1 species
UGGGGAAUUUUGGACAAUGGGCGAAAGCCUGAUCCAGCAAUGCCGCGUGUGUGAAGAAGGCCUUCGGGUUGUAAAGCACUUUUGUCCGGAAAGAAAUCCUUGGCUCUAAUACAGUCGGGGGAUGACGGUACCGGAAGAAUAAGCACCGGCUAACUACGUGCCAGCAGCCGCGGUAAUACGUAGGGUGCAAGCGUUAAUCGGAAUUACUGGGCGUAAAGCGUGCGCAGGCGGUUUGCUAAGACCGAUGUGAAAUCCCCGGGCUCAACCUGGGAACUGCAUUGGUGACUGGCAGGCUAGAGUAUGGCAGAGGGGGGUAGAAUUCCACGUGUAGCAGUGAAAUGCGUAGAGAUGUGGAGGAAUACCGAUGGCGAAGGCAGCCCCCUGGGCCAAUACUGACGCUCAUGCACGAAAGCGUGGGGAGCAAACAGGAUUAGAUACCCUGGUAGUCCACGCCCUAAAACGAUGUCAACUAGUUGUUGGGGAUUCAUUUCCUUAGUAACGUAGCUAACGCGUGAAGUUGACCGCCUGGGGAGUACGGUCGCAAGAUUAAAACUGAAAGGAAUUGACGGGGUCAUAGCUGUUUCCU